ACUGUGCAAUGAUGAGUCUUAUUGUCUGGAGACUGUUGGAUGAAUCUUGCGGAUAUGGGACUGAGCACAGUU